UAGGGAAUCUUCCACAAUGGACGAAAGUCUGAUGGAGCAACGCCGCGUGAGUGAAGAAGGGUUUCGGGCUCGUAAAGCUCUGUUGGUAGUGAAGAAAGAUAGAGGUAGUAACUGGCCUUUAUUUGACGGUAAUUACUUAGAAAGUCACGGCUAACUACGUGCC
rnacentral:rRNA from 1 species